rnacentral:tRNA from 1 species
GCGUGGGUGGCCAAACGGUAAGGCAGUUGCCUGCAGAGCAACAGAUUGGGGGUUCAAAUAUCGACAUGCGCAAUUUGUUUUGCGUCUUUGUGAUUGAAUGUCCCUCCCCACGCU